CAAAAACGUUUAUAUCUUUAUUGUAUAAGCUUUUUCUUAUUUAAAAAUUUUUUAUUUUAUUUUUUUAACUUUCAAAACUUUUUUGUUAAAAACCAAGACACAAACACAUGCAUUAGCCUAGGCCUAUGCAGGGUCAGGAUCACCAAUAUCUCUGUUUUCCAUCUCCAUCUCGUCCCACUGGAAGGUCUUCAGAGGCAAUAGCAUGCAUGGAGCUGUCCUCUCCUAUGCUACCAAUGCCUUCUUCUGGAAUAUGUCCUGAAGCACCUGCCUGAAGCUGUGUUACAGUUAACAUUUUUUUUAUAAGUAGAAGGAGUGCACUCUUAAAAUAAUGAUAAAAAGUAUGUAGCAAAUACAUAAACCAGUAACACAGUUGUUUAUUAUCAUCAAGUAUUAUGUGUGGCAUAUAAAAUGCUAUGCUAAUGUCAGCAGUGCAUUAUGCUAUAAAUUUACCAUGGCUACAUCAUGGGCCGAUCGGAGUUUUUUUAGCUCCAUUUUAGUAUCAUGGGACCACCAUUGUAUGUGAGGUCUGUCAUUGACUGAAAUGUUACACAAGGUGAGAAAGCGAUAGAGAUGGAUAGGCAGAGAGUGUGUGAGAGAGAAAGAGACCAUACGCACAGAGAGAGAACAUAAUCAAAGCCUGGCACAUAGAAAACACUGUACAGAUGGCCCCGACUUAUGAUGGUUUGAUUUAGGAUUUUUUGACUAUGUGAUGUCAUGAAAAUGAUAUGAUACUCUCUUUGAUGCUGGGCAGUGGCAGUGAGUUGCAGCUCCCAGUUAGCCACUUGAACAUGAGGGUUAACAACCCAUACACUACAGUAGGCUGUGUUGCCAGAUGAUUUUGCCCAACUGUAGGUGAAUGCAAGUGUUCUGGAUCCAUGUAAGGCAGGCCAGGCUAAGCUCCGAUGUUCAGUAGGUUAGGUGUAUGGAAUGUGUUUUUGACUUACAAUAUUUUCAAUUUACUGUGGGUUUAUCAGGACAUGACCCUAUUGUAAGCUGAAGAGCAACUGUGUGUUAGCUAUUGUCAUCUAGGUAGCACUGUCCAAUGGAACUUUUUGUGAUGAGGGAAAUAUUCUUUAUCUGAACUAUCCAGUACAGUAUAUACCAGCUAAAAGUGUUAUUGAGUAUAGGAAUGCAGCUAGUGACUGAGGAAUGGAGUUUUAAAUUUUAUGUAACUUUAAUUUAUUUACAUUUAUUAGCUACAUGUGGCUAUCAACUACCCUACUGGGCAGCAUGGGUCUAGGGCUUGGAGGUGAGGCAGGCUGUGAGUUAUAGAUGUUAUCAAUUUGUGGGCAACAGGAAAAGCCAUAAGAAUGAAUAAAAAAUAAAUAGAAUAGGAAGGGAAGAGAGUAAAGGUUAGAAACAGGGAAAUAUUGGCAUUUAAGGUUUGGCCAGAGAAGAAAGAGAUCGAAAAAAGGCGGCCAAAGAGGCCAAAAGGAGGAGUGUUUCCUAUAAAAAAACAGAAGAGAGUUUCGAGAAGAGAGGGUGGUUACUAGGGUUGAAUAUCAUGAACUGAUUCAUUAAAAUAAGAACUGAAAGUAUGUCUUUAACACUGACCAAAUCAGCAUGCUCCAAGUAGGUGUUGUAACUUUGAAGGUGGUGGGGUGGGGAGAUAGGCUAUUCAGCGGAAAUUGAUAUACGGUUUGUAACACGUCUACUUCUCUGGUGAAUACAAGCAAAAGACCUUUUAAAGGCAUUGGCUUUUGGGCUGGGUGCAGUGGCUCAUGACUGCAGUGGCCCAGCACUUUGGGAGGAUGAGGUGGGCAGAUCUAUUGAGGUCAGGAGUUCACGACCAGCCUGGCCAACAUGGUGAAACCCUGUCUCUACUAAAAAUGCAAAAAAUUAGCACGGCAUGGUAAUGGGCACCUGUAAUUCCAGCUACUUGAGAGACUGAGGCAUGAGAAUUGCUUGAAUGCAGGAGACGGAGGUUGCAGUGAGCUGAAAUCAUACCCCUGCACUCCAGCCUAGGUGACAGAGUAAGACUCUGUCUAAAACAGAAACAAAAACAAAAGGCAUUGGCUUUGAGGUGAAAUAUGAGUGCUUAAGGCAGAAUAUUUCAAUAUCAAUUCUUAUUACUAAUUCUCGAAAAAUUUUAAAGACAAUGCUAUAUGCACUGUUCUAUAAUGUGUCUGUAUAAACCAUUUUGGAAGGCAUUGGAAGAUUAUGGUGGCUGUUUCCAUAUUAAAAUGUUAAUGUUUGAGUCAAAUUGGUGGUUUUUGAACAUGAAAGAUCAAAUAGUUCAGUUUAAUUGUAUUAACCAAAUUUAUUUUAAACCAGCAGAAUUAUUUGCAGUGCUUAAAAUGUCAUUAUUUUCCAUUCAAGUGAGAUGAAUGGGUCACCUUGGGAUUUGCAGCUGGAGUUUUCCUUUAUGAUAAUAUAUUGGGAACCCAGUCAUUUGUCCUUACGACACUCUCAGCAAAGGUUCACCAAACCUGUCUUGAUUAAUUUUUCAAAAGCACUUGAAGAAAUUUACCAGUUACACUUUCAGGGGUUGAUUUGAUCAGCUCCACAUGGUUGCACAGUCUGCAUCUUACUACUUUAAGCUCCAACAGACCAAAAUAAGGUUAAAAGAGGUCCGAUGGAAAUAAACUAAGAACUCAAUUCUAACGUGGUCUAAACUUGUAUGCUUUAAAUUACUGCAUAUUUGGGAUGCUGCAUAUAAAAUUAUCUAAUGCAAAUUCAAGAAUUCUGAAAAAGUAAUGAGGGAGCAAAUAUUAAUUCCAUUUUGCUAGUGAGAGUUACUGUGACAGAAAACGAUAAAGGAACGAAAGGUGGCACACUGAACACCACUGUGGGACUUUUAAGAUUCAUUUUUGGCCUGGCGCAGUGGCUCACACCUAUAACCCCAGCACUUUGGGAGGCCGAGGCAGGUGGAUCACCUGAGGUCGGGAGCUCAAGAUUGGCCUGACCAACAUGGAGAAACUCCGCCUCUACUGAAAAUACAAAAUUAGCUGGGUGUGGUGGCAGAUACCUGUAAUCCCAGCUACUUGGGAGGCUGAGGCAGGAGAACUGCUUGAACCUGGGAGGCGGAGGUUGCGGAGCCGAGAUCGGGCCAUUGCACUCCAGCCUGGGCAACAAGAGCGAAACUGUCUCAAGAAAAAAAGAUUUGUUUUCUUUUAUCUCCGUUCCCAUCCUUCGUUUCUAUGGCAGUUAGCAUUACAUUCUGGCAGUAAUGUGGUGGUAAGUAAUCUGCAUUUUCAAUCACCGGACGUUAUGUAGUUCCAUAUUGAAAAAAAUUAUUUUUCUUUUUUGGUCUCUCUUAAAAUUUUGCUUCUCAAAGUGUGGUCCUUGGCUUAGCAGCAAUGGCAUCAACUAGCUGCUAAUUAGAAAUGCCCAGAUUCUGUCAGAUCAAUCUGUUUCAUUCAUGUGUACAUUAAAAUCAAGAAGCACCCUCUGGCCAGGUGCAGUAGCUCACACCUGUAAUACCAGGGACUCUGGAGGCUGAGGCAGAAGGAUCUCUUGAGGCCAGGAGUUUGAGACCAGCCUAGACAACAUAGUGAGAUCCUGUUUCUAAAAUCAGUCAAUCAAAUUACUCAGGCAUGGUGGUGCACCUAGUCUCAGCUACUCGGGAAGCUGAUGCGAGAGGGUCGCUUGAGCCCAAGAGUUUGGGGCUGCAGUGAGCUGUGAUUAUGCUAUGGUAUUCCAGCCUGGGCAACAGAGCUGUCUCAAAAACCAACCAACCAACCAACCAACCCCCCAAAAACUUCCACAAGUGAUUCAGCUGUGCAAGCUUGAGACUCACGACUUUAGGAUAAUAUUACAUCUGGGUGCCCUUACUUUCCAACUUACCACUCUUAGAACAAAACAGAACUUUUUAUAUGCUUUUAAUGUGGUAUGUCUGUUGUUCCAUAAAGGAAGCAGAGGAAUUCAGGACUGUUUUCAUUUAAUCCAUCCAUUAAUUAAAUAACUCUUCUUUUAAGAACAAAUGUUUUUAAUCUCAUGACUAACAAACCCUGCUAAUUCAGUCUUUUGCCUUAAGCGUUGAUAUGUGAAAACCUAUUCAGUUUUAUCACAACAUGUGAGGGAAGAAAUAGAAAAUAGAGAAAGAUAUGUUUUGCUUUUACUUAUUAUUAUGGUAGGAUAAAGUUUCUGAAUAUCAUAAGAGAAAAGAAUUUCAAUUAUGAGAUUCAGAGCACACAUGAGAAUAGAUAAGAUCACUAGGUAAGAUACAGGAAAUCCAGUUAAAUUUGAAUUUCUCAACCAUAAAUACCUUUUUUAACCUAAUGAUUAAGCAUUUUUUAGUACAAGUAUUUAGUAGAAAUAGGUUCCUUGCAAGUACCUGGGGCAUAAUUUUAUUUGCGAAAUCUGGCAACCCUAAGAAAUAGGCCAUGCAAAAUAAGAAGUAAAUUAUAUUUUUAAUCAAUGAAAAUUGGAACCUAUAUGAUAUGCUAGCAUGAUAGCUACAUAAAUUCCCUUUUAUGGGGUAUUUUACAAUUAAAGAGCAAUAACAUGCUGUGUUCCAUAUUUGCAGCUCAAUAUGAAAUUUCUAAGUAGUUUUGAUCAAGAAAGUUUUUUGAGUUGAUGUCAAAACACAAGCAAUAAUAAUUUAAAAUAAUCCCAUGCAUCCUGAUUACCAUUCUACCAAUUUUAGUGAUUUAUGUGUAAAAUGCUGAACCAAAACAAUGCACUGCAAUGUUCUUAAAAGAAGAAGGGGGGGGGCGGGUGGAAAAUGGAAAAGAAAAAAGGUAGAAAAAGAAAAGCCAUAUUGAAAUUCUGAGCUGUUGGAAAACCCAGCCAGCAGCAGAGGGCACUAACGUAUCACUGAUGAAUUGUGAGUCACGCGCGACUUAAACAUUUUUGUAAUGCUUUGUUCAACUUAGAUUUUAUUUAAAUAUUUAUUUUAAUCCACUUUGCCAUGCAGUGUUGUUAAAACAGAUUAGAAACUAAAAGCAGGUGUAGUGUACUGUUCAGCACUUGCAUGACCCUGAAUAAUAAUAUAUUUUUGCUUCAGAUCUUUUGCUAAGUACUUAAUUAUUUUGGCCACUAGAUGCACUAUGUUUUUGGUUUCUGCUUGAAUGCCUGAGUCUUUGCAAGUGUGUUGACUGUGUGUAAGGGAUCGUAGGUCUAAUUAAGAAAGGGAGUGGUGGAUGGAGGCUUGUGAAGUUAGGGAACUAAAAUCCUAGUUGGAUGGGAGAUGGCCAAGGCUGGACUGACUUAACUCUUAAACCAGACAAUAUGAUACAAUUCUGGCCCCAGGCAUACAAACCUAUACAAAGGUGUGUGUAGGUGCAGUAAAAUUGAGGGCGAUUUUAUUUUCCUCACAGGACCGCCUUUAUGGACAGAGAAGGAGAGUGCAUUUUGGCCCUCUUUGUGCUAGCCUUGGCGUCGCUUAUAUUCGAUUUCAUUUAAGUUUCAUGAUAACGCGGUGAGGUAGGUGUUGUUAUCAUCUGUUUUCCCAAGGCUGAAAGAAAAGGUAUAUUUCAAAGAACGGUAUCCUUGUGUGUGGUAGGCACUCACUUAACUUUCAUCUAACCUAUGUUAGAUUUCUUAUACUUUGGUCUGUAAGACACUAGUACCAUUCAAGAUUUCAUAAGUUUUCCUUAUCAAACAAUUAUGGGAAAUGUUGAAAACUUUAACUGUCUCUUACAGUUUCACAAUGUACAAAAAUGUUGUAAAAUUUCUGUGGUAAUGCAACUGAUUUAACUUUAUGCUUAGGUUUCACAAUCUUAUUUAACUAAAGAAUCCUUCUCCCAUUUUUGGUAGAACAAGCGUCCAUGUUGCAAGGCAUAUACCUUUUGUAAAACAUGUUUUGAGAAACAUGGGUCUAAUUAUAUAUGGAAUAUAUUCCUUGGUAGGAAGUAGAGGAGUUAGUUCAUUAUUAUCAUCAUUCUUAGAGAGUACGUAUUUGGGUGGUGACUCCUCAAGGAAUCGCGCACACACACACAUUCAAUUUCAUCUCAUCAGUGCAUCACAUCUUAAUGUCAUUUGUUAGAGAAACAAAAGCAAAUGAAGGAUGUGGAUAUCUAUAUCAGGGGAUUGGUCGAAGGGUUUGAAGUUCAUAGACUAAAAAUUUCAGUUGUGUUUCAGUAAUUUUGAAGGCUGGCAAGUUACUACUAUUCCAGAGAUCUCUAGACUUUCUUUUUUUAGAGAUGUGAUGAUAUUCUGCACUGUUCUGGCAUCUUUUUUCUAAUAAUCUUUUAAAACCUUCUCAAGAAAUUUAGCAUAUUACCAAUAAGGAAAUGAAAUCAAUUUGUGGUUGUAACAUUAACAGAGGAGUUGGAAAUGAAAUAUUCAGCUGUGGUUGGAUAUGCAAGGGGAAAUGUGAAGGUGAUGACCAAUAAACCAGAUAACACAAUGUGGAAAUAUGUUUUCUUGAGUUAUUCAGAUGCUUAUAACGAAAAAAGAUUUUCCUCCCUGAAUCACCUGAUUUAAGCCAGCCCCAGCCCUUCACUCUGUGUCCCUUGGAAGUAGGGCUUUGCUCAGAAAGGCUCUGGCCUUGCUUUUUUGAAAGAAUCAUGACUUGCACCUUCAUCUCAUAUUCUUGGGGAGAACAGAAAAGAGGAUUUAUCUUUGCUUCUACAGAUCUUAGCAAUAUUCUUAUCCUAUUAAGCCACAGGCCUUAUUUAUUCAGGUCACAGAUAACUGAGAAGUGCAGAAAUAAUAGGUUACUGAUGGCAAAUUGCAUUUUUCCAUAUUAUGACUGUAAAUAAGUUACCUGAGACAAUUUUUCAGAAGUCAGUUUUAUAAUAAUGGUUUAAACCAAAACUCAAUGAAAGGAAGCCAUUUUUUCACAUAAUGCAGUAAUGAUUAAGAAUGAUUAUUUUCUCUUUACAUUGAUAAUACCUAAUCCUUAAUUCUCCUUAUGAGAUUUGCUUUAAUAUCUAAAAAUAAUGAACAUUUCUAAAUAAUGUGCCUCCAAUGGAACUACAAACUCACUUGAAAUUGCAGAGGAUGUCCAUGUGGAGAUGUUUCAUAUGACACUGCAAGUGGCUCAUGACAUUACUUUUGGAUAGUUCCCCGGGGGAACACGACACACAUCUGACAAUAUAAAUGAGAUAAUUUGUAUCUUGGCCUAAAGCAGGCUUUCUGCUUUGGUGUCUCUUCAUUUCAAAUAAUAACACUGGAGGGCCUGGAAGAAAGAGGCAGAUUCAUCAUUUAAACUGUGUUUCCUACAUUAAGAGAUUGGGAAUGCAAAACAAAGGAAGUUGAGCCCCAGAGUUAUUGGUUGUCCUCUCUUUCAGCACUGCUAGUAACAGAUCCACUGUAAAUUUGUUGGGGCAACAUGGGAAACUGGGGAGUCUCUAGUCACAUGUUUAUAACAGAAAUCAGUGCUUUCUAAACAUCUUUAAUACCAGUUCUGGCACAAAGUCACCAGGCGACUCAGUUAAGCAAAAAUAUUUCUUUAGUACUUACAUUGAAUUUCUUCAAAUAAUAUUUAUUAAGCACCUAUUAUAUGCCAGGCACUGUUCUAGGUACAGGGUCACUGGUGAACAUGAGGGGUGAAGUCCCAGCUCUCUUAGAGUUCACUGUUCCUUGGGAAUAAAGACAGUAACAAGUUAAUGAAGAGCCUAUGAAGAAAAUAAAAUAGGUGACUGUGAUAGAGAGUGACAGGUGUGGGGUGGAAAAGGCCUCCCUGAGGGAGUGUUGUUUAAGAAAAUGGAAUCAGGUAGAGAAGAGGGAGGAAAAAGAGCACCCGAAGCAUUGGAAACAUGUGCAAAGGCCUGAAGCAGGAGCAAACUUAGCAUGUUCAAAGUGCUGGAAGGAGCUCUUGUAGCCAAAGCCUGGUGAGCAAAGGUGGGGUAAUGGAAGAUAAGCGAGGAGAGGCAGGCAGGGAUUCGGCCAUCUGGGAUCUUGUAAGGCCCCGAUGAAGAGUUUAAAUUUUAUUGUAUAUGUACUUCUAACUGCUGUGAGGAGAAUGACUGUGCGGGCAAGGGUGGGUGCAGGAAGAGCACCAGGGCUAUUUCAGAUAAGCCAGGUAAGUCCAGGGUCUUGGACUAAAGUGGAAAGAGCAGAAAUAGUGAGAAGUAGUUGAUUCCAAGAUAUAUUUGAGAGAGAGAAACAAGAUAUAUUGAUGGAUCAGAUGUGGGGAUUGAGGGAAAGAGGCGUUUGUCCUGAACAAUUUCCUGAGAUGGGAAAGAAGAGGUUUAGUGGGUGGAAAUUAAUGAUUUUGAUUUGAAUGUGCUGAGUUUCAGAUGCCUAUUGGACAUCAAAACACUGAUAUCAGAUAAGUUGGAGCUGAAGAUACACACUUGGGUGACAUUUGUAUACAGGUGGCAUUGGAAGAUCAGGGACAUGACCAGCUGAUGUUGGGAGAAAGUAUAGAUCCAAGAGAAGGUGGUGCAGAACUGUGUCUACAAGUCACAACCUUGUUGAAGAUGGGAAGAGGAGGAGGAGCAGCAAAAAAGAUGGAGAAAAACCAGAAAGUGUAACGGGCAGCAAGAUGGAGAGGUGCAACUAUGGAAAUCAAUAGAGUGCUUUAGGGAGGAGGUAUAUAGCACUGCAGAGAGGUAAAGUAACAUGAGAAUAGAGAGAAGACCAUUAGGUUUGUCUCUCAAAGGUCAUGAGUGACCUUGAGAAGAGUGAGGAUAACAAAGAGGAUGAAACUCAACCUUUCUCUUCAGAGAACUGACAAUGCAGCCACGGAAACAAAAACUAGUCAAAAGUGGAACUUUAUUUUGUGGCUCUACUUAACUUCUCAGGGUAACUGUCACCAUAGAAACCCACUGUGAUUUAAGAACCCCUAGAGGUCGGGUAGUCCAAACUUUCACCCUGGGCCUUCCAGGACAGGCUGACAGAUGUUAAAAAUUUGCACAAACUUUUCCAGGAAUGGAAGUUCAUCUUGUGAUAGUUCACUUUGUGGCUGGAUAGCUUUGUCUGUUACAGUAAAAGCCUUUGACAAUUUAAAUUUAGCAGAGUUUAGUUGAGUAAAAAAUAAUUCAUGCAUCUGCAGUACUCAGAACCAGCAAAAGUUCAGAGAGCUCACCAAGCACAGCUGGAAAUUGCUGAGUCUCUGUAAAAUGGACUAAUACACUCACCAAGCACCUGCCUCUGCAGUGCCUGGUCUGGGGGCUGGUGCCCCAGAGGAGCCAGUCUGUGGGAUGACUGAAUGAAGUGACCAAAUAGAGAGGAUGGAUUACUACCUAGAUGGGAACCAGCUUCACUAAUAUGGCCGAUGAAGUUCCAGUAACUGCUUUCCUCAAAGAACAAUGGAAGACCUAAAUCAAAUUUUAAAUAUCAAGGGAGAUAAAAUCUUUAGACAAGACAGCCCCAGAAACCUCUUCUUCCCAUUUGUUGUAUGGGCUGUUGGACCAGGUAUUUUCUAACAGAAGACUAGGAAAAGAUUGUAACAUUCUGGAUGAUAUAAUCUCUGAGCCAGAUGUGUCUGGAACAUAGCCUGACUCCCAAGGCUGGACCCCAUUCAUUUAAUAAAAUCUAAGAUACUUCUUGACCAAACGUUUUUGUCUUUUUUAAACCUCCAAAGACUCUGACAACUAAAAGGAAAGCCUAGAUUCCUGGAGCUUUAAAUAUUAUUAUUUACCAAUGCAGAAUCUGAGGCUCAGGAAGGUAUGUCAAGUGGCCAAGGAAACAUUAUUGGUGAGAGAUGGAGUUAGAGCCAGAGCCCAGACGUGUCGGACUGUACAGUCUCUGCUCCUUUACAUCACACCUCAUGUUGUAGGAUCAUUUUAGGGUGAGGCAUCUUAGAGUUGGGGUUUGGGCUAAUUUAAGCUUCUAAGUCUUUUUUUUUUUUACUUUAUUCUCCUGUAAAUAUUACCCAUCAGGUAUUUUAGAGAAAAAUCAAGACGUCCUACCUGACAUGCUUCCUGCACUUUGUUAUUCUGCUAGUCUGAUUCUGUUGAAAACCGUAUCUAUACCUAUCCACACCCCCAUAUACAAAAUAAAUCCAAGCUUACACACAAAUAUUUUACCCACAAGUACGAUUUGAAUUUAUUAAGUACAAACCUAAUAAAACCCAGGUAACUUCAGGCAACAGCUUCUCCUUAAGUAAUUACACUUGUAGUUCACAGUUACACUUGAUUCCAGAUAACCUGUUCAAUCAAAACUGUAUUAGUUAUAUACUACUCUGUAACAAAUUAUCUAAAAAACCCAAAGGUUUAAAAAAGGGAUUAAAAUUUAUCCUUUGUAGUUUCUGUUGGUCAGGAAUUUGAGAGUGUAUGAUGGAUUUGGCAUGUGUCAACUUGGUGAGGUUGAACAGUGUUCCUCAGAAGUCCCUUUCAAGUGUGUUUCCAGAUGCAGUGGGCUACUAGAGAUACUGUCUCAUGAGAGCGGGAGGAUGAAAAAGAAGCAACAGCCAUAUUGUAGCAAACACACACACCUUCUUCCAGUCAUUCAGUGAAACACAAAUCUCUGUGCUGCCAUGAAAGGAUUUUGCAGAUGUAAUUGAAGUCCCUAAUCAGUUGACUUUAAACUGGGUGGGCCUGACUGAAACAACUGGAAGGCCUUAAAAGAGGGCUUAGAACUUUUCUGAAGUUGGGGGAGAGGGGAGAAAGGGAGAGAGAGGAGAUUUCCAUCUGUGGCUAACAGCUUUGGUCUGUGUCCUUGGAGUUCCAGCUUGCUUGUUUGUGAUCAUCUCUCACUGAUGGCCUGUGGACAACAGCUGGGGUUCCAAGCCAGCUUAGUGGUGAGCUUCUCUUUCUGAGGCUGCUCUAUAAACUUCAGACUUGCCAAGCCAGCCCUCACCCCCAAUUUCAUAAGCAAAUUUCUUGUAAUAAAUUCAUGUAUUGCCAACUGGUUCUGAUUUUCUGUCUGAACCAAAAUUAUAAUACAGGGCAGCUUAGCUAGGCUAUUAUGGUUUGGAGUGUCUCAUGAGGGUAUAGUCAAGAUGUUGGCCCAUGUUGUAGUCAUCAAAGGCUUGACUGAGAUUGAAAGAUCUGUUUCCAAGAUGACUCAUUUAUAUAGCUGGCAAUUUGGUAUUGGCUAUUUUCAGAAAGCCUUAGUUCCAUGCCACUCAGACCUCUCCAUAGACCUACUUGAGUAUUAUCAUGGCAUGGCUGCUGGCUUCCUCUACAGUGAGUAAUACCAGAGACCAAAAAAACCAGAAGCAGAAAUGUCUUUUCUUAUCUAGCAUUGGUAGUCACACACCAUCACUUCCACGGGUUACUUUUGGUCACCCAGACCAAGCCUGAAUAUGAAAGGGGACUAUGCAAAGGCGUAAGUACCAGAAGGCAAGGAUCAAUAGUAGUCAUCUUGGAGCCUGGCUACCACAAAACCUUUCUCAUUUCAAUUCGUUAUUUUGGUGCCAUGUAGACACAGUUAUAGUGUGAUGGCUAAAAAUAUUUUAUGAUUAAAAAUUGUAAAAAUUUAGAAUUUAAUAAAUUUUAAAUUCAUUU